rnacentral:snRNA from 1 species
AUACCUUUCUUGGCCUUUUGGCUAAGAUCAAGUGUAGUAUUUGUUCUUAUCAGUUUAAUAUCUGAUACAUGGUUCAUAGAACCACAUGAUAUUAAAUGUAUUUUUCUAGGGGGAGGCCCCACUCACAAUAGCUUUCUAUUGGGGCCUUUCUAUUGGGGCUCUCAGGCGUCGCUUGUGCAUU